UACAGAGGGCUCAAGCGUUGUUCGGAUUCAUUGGGCGUAAAGGGUGCGUAGGCGGUGGGGCAAGUCAGGUGUGAAAUCCCGGAGCUCAACUCCGGAACUGCACUUGAUACUGCUUUACUAGAGUACUGGAGAGGAGACUGGAAUUUACGGUGUAGCAGUGAAAUGCGUAGAUAUCGUAAGGAAGACCAGUGGCGAAGGCGAGUCUCUGGACAGUUACUGACGCUGAGGCACGAAGGCCAGGGGAGCAAACGGG
rnacentral:rRNA from 1 species